rnacentral:rRNA from 1 species
GAUCUGGCUCAGGAUGAACGCUAGCUACAGGCUUAACACAUGCAAGUCGAGGGGAAACGACAUCGAAAGCUUGCUUUUGAUGGGCGUCGACCGGCGCACUGGUGAGUAACGCGUAUCCAACCUGCCCACCACUUGGGGAUAACCUUGCGAAAGUAAGACUAAUACCCAAUGAUAUCUCUAGAAGACAUCUGAAAGGGAUUAAAGAUUUAUCGGUGAUGGAUGGGGAUGCGUCUGAUUAG